rnacentral:rRNA from 1 species
UACGUAGGGUGCAAGCGUUGUCCGGAAUUAUUGGGCGUAAAGAGCUCGUAGGCGGUCUGUCGCGUCGAAUGUGAAAACCCGGGGCUCAACCCCGGGCCUGCAUUCGAUACGGGCAGACUAGAGUUCGGUAGGGGAGUCUGGAAUUCCUGGUGUAGCGGUGAAGUGCGCAGAUAUCAGGAGGAACACCGGUGGCGAAGGCGGGACUCUGGGCCGAUACUGACGCUGAGGAGCGAAAGCGUGGGGAGCAAACAGG